UGGGGAAUAUUGCACAAUCGGGGAAACCCUGAUGCAGCGACGCCGCGUGAACGAAGAAGGUAUUCGUAUCGUAAAGUUCUGUCCUAUGGGAAGAUAAUGACAGUACCAUAGAAGAAAGCUCCGGCUAAAUACGUGCCAGCAGCCGCGGUAAUACGUAUGGAGCGAGCGUUGUCCGGAAUUAUUGGGCGUAAAGGGUACGCAGGCGGUUUAAUAAGUCGAAUGUUAAAGAUCGGGGCUCAACCCCGUAAAGCAUUGGAAACUGAUAAACUUGAGUAGUGGAGAGGAAAGUGGAAUUCCUAGUGUAGUGGUGAAAUACGUAGAUAUUAGGAGGAAUACCAGUAGCGAAGGCGACUUUCUGGACACAAACUGACGCUGAGGUACGAAAGCGUGGGGAGCAAACAGG
rnacentral:rRNA from 1 species